GACGAACGCUGGCGGCGUGCUUAACACAUGCAAGUCGAACGGAAAGGCCCUGCUUUUGUGGGGUGCUCGAGUGGCGAACGGGUGAGUAACACGUGAGUAACCUGCCCUUGACUUUGGGAUAACUUCAGGAAACUGGGGCUAAUACCGGAUAGGAGCUCCUGCUGCAUGGUGGGGGUUGGAAAGUUUCGGCGGUUGGGGAUGGACUCGCGGCUUAUCAGCUUGUUGGUGGGGUAGUGGCUUACCAAGGCUUUGACGGGUAGCCGGCCUGAGAGGGUGACCGGCCACAUUGGGACUGAGAUACGGCCCAGACUGCUACGGGAGGCAGCAGUGGGGAAUAUUGCACAAGGGGCGGAAGCCUGAUGCAGCAACGCCGCGUGCGGGAUGACGGCCUUCGGGUUGGAAACCGCUUUCGCCUGUGACGAAGCGUGAGUGACGGUAAUGGGGAAAGAAGCACCGGCUAACUACGU
rnacentral:rRNA from 1 species